rnacentral:rRNA from 1 species
CCAAUAGCGUAUAUUAAAGUUGUUGCAGUUAAAAAGCUCGUAGUUGAAUUUCGAGAUCAGUACGCUGGUCGUGCCUUCGGUAUGCACUGGUGUCACUGGUUUCUCCCUUCUGAAGAACCGUCAUGUCAUUAAGUUGGUGUGGCGGGGAAUCAGGACUGUUACUUUGAAAAAAUUAGAGUGUUUAAAGCAGGCUCGCGCUUGAAUACAUUAGCAUGGAAUAAUGAAAUAGGACGUUUGACCCUAUUUUGUUGGUUUCUAGGAUCGACGUAAUGAUUAAUA